rnacentral:rRNA from 1 species
AGCGAACGCUGGCGGCAGGCCUAACACAUGCAAGUCGACCGGGUGGCGGACGGGUUAGUAAUGUCUGGGAAACUGCCUGAUGGAGGGGGAUAACUACUGGAAACGGUAGCUAAUACCGCAUAACAUCAGAUGUGCCCAGAUGGGAUUGACUUGUUGGUGGGGUAACGGCUUCCCAAGGCGACGAUCCCUAGCUGGUCUGAGAGGAUGACAAGCAACACGGGAACUGAGACACGGUCCAGACUCUUACGGGAGGAAGAAGUGGGGAAUAUUGCACAAUGGGCGCAAGCCUGAUGCAGCCAUGCCGCGUGUAUGAAGAAGGCCUUCGGGUUGGAAAGUACUUUCAGCGGGGAGGCGUUACCCGCAGAAGAAGCACCGGCUAACUCCGUGCCAGCAGCCGCGGUAAUUC